UCCCUGGACGCAGCGUGUGGGGACUAGCACCUCAGGAGUCUGCAGGACAGGAGGUUGUCUCUGAGACGUGCAGACUGAGACCAGAAGAGAGAGGAUUCCUACGCUCUGCCAAGCUUCUGGGGUCUCAGGGAGGUGAAGGCCUUGGUGUGAGUGAGAAGACAGGUCAACUGAAGGAGUCACAUCCGGUCAGAAGAAGGAAGAGUCUCAAGCUCUACCAGAGUCAAGCAGAUGAGUCUGUUCCAGAUUGUUUCUGAGUGAAGUCCUAGAUGCAGAUGGCUGUGGAUGUAUAGCAGUGAAAGUCAAUGAAGUUUAAAAGAUGAAGGAACUGAGAG